rnacentral:sRNA from 1 species
AGAAAAGUAGGUGCCGCCCCGCACAGGGGCGACGCCUGAAGAACGAAAGCAAAUCGCGGAUGCCAGCGCAAAGCCCAAAAAACCAAACAGCUUGUGCCGCAA